rnacentral:SRP_RNA from 1 species
GCCGGGCGUGGUGGCACAUGCCUGUAAUCCUGGCUACUCGGGAGGCUGAGGCAGGAGAAUUGCUUGAACCCAAGAGGCAGAGUUUGUGGUGAGCCAAGACUGUGCCACUGCACUCCACCCUGGGUGACAGUGAGACUCAAAAAAAAAAAAAAAAAAAAAAAAGUUGCUCACACUGUAUUUACCUGGCUAAUGAAAGUAUGAUUUACUACAUCUAUGCAAGUACUGAUCUGGUUUGUUUUUUGUUUUUGUUUUUGUUCUGUUUUGAGAUGGAGUCUCACUCUAUCGCCCAGGCUGGAGUGCAGUGGCGUGGUCUUAGCUCACUGCAAUCUCUGCCUCCUGGGUUCAAGCAGUUCUCCUGCCUCAU